rnacentral:rRNA from 1 species
AUACGGAGGGUGCAAGCGUUAAUCGGAAUUACUGGGCGUAAAGGGCGCGUAGGCGGUCUAUCAAGUCAGGUGUGAAAUCCCACGGCUCAACCGUGGAGGUGCAUCUGAAACUGAUAGACUUGAGUAUGGGAGAGGAAAGUGGAAUUCCCGGUGUAGAGGUGAAAUUCGUAGAUAUCGGGAGGAACACCAGUGGCGAAGGCGACUUUCUGGACCAAUACUGACGCUGAGGCGCGAAAGCGUGGGGAGCAAACAGGAUUAGAUACCCUUGUAGUCC